rnacentral:misc_RNA from 1 species
AAAGAAAAUCAUGUAGGCCAAAAAACCUUGUCUGGAGAGUGGAGACCCAGUUGACUAUGGGCAUAAGAGAAAUUGAAGUGGCCGGCCAGAGGUUAACUAUACACGAACUCGACGACCUGUGCGACUCCAUCACUGGUCGCCCAUUAACCGGGUCAUGGCUCUGGGACUCCGCCUUGGUGCUCUCACAGUGGCUCGCUACUUCUCCGCUAGACUUCCGCGGCAAGUCCGUCCUUGAGCUGGGCGCCGGCACCGGCCUUCCCGGCUUGACGGCCGCUCGCCUUGGCGCUCGCCUAGUUGUCCUCACCGACGUCGCUCCUUUACUUCCCAGCUUGCUAAGGAACGUUGAGGCGAACGAGUUGGGUAACCAGGUGGAGGUGAGGGAGCUGGUUUGGGGGUCGGACGAGUCAUUGAGUCAAAUAGGAGAUUUGGGGGAGUUCGACGUCGUUUUGAUGAGCGACGUGUUUUUCGAUCCAGAGCAAAUGGGGGCGCUGGGAAGUACAUUGAAGAGAGUGUGCGGGGAAAGGAGUAGAGUUUGGGCGGCGAGUGAAGUGAGACCUUGGACCGGUGAGUGUUUGAACGAGUUGGUGAGUCAGGGUUUUGGCGUAGUGGAGUUGCCGAGUGGAAGCCGUGGUGGUGAUUCGGAAGCUGACGUUGGACAGGAAGUCUUCGCCGUUUAUCAUCUGAUUCCACCGACUGGAGAGAAGUGCCACGUUGGAGACAUUUUGGCUUAAUUAACGGGUCCCAAUCUGUGAAUGUAAGCAAAGUUUCUGAAAUGUGUCGUUUCAUUUCAAACAAACCAAGUGUACCUUUUUUUUUUUAAUAAUAUCGAUUGGAAU